UUCCUGGGUAUGGCGCCCGAACACGUAAUUUAAUUUUAAAAACAAGCAAACAAUGAAAUUGCAUGCGCAUGUAAAUACAAUAUAGGCACAAAAAAACAGAAACCAAGAAAAGUUAAUGGAGAAAGUAAAUAAUUAAAACAAAAAAAAUCCCAAAACAAUUUAAAAAAAAAUUAAAGAAGCCCUGAGAUGUUCAUAUUGUUUGAGUUUUAUCUCAAAAGCAACUUGCAAAGUAAAACACCUAACUCUUUUGUAAAUAACUAAUAAUACUAUACAUCCCAACAAUCUGAGGCAAUUAUAAUAAAAUAGUUCUAAAGUAGAGGUUUCACUUUUUAGCCAAUAGUUGUUUGAAGCCAUAAAAAUAAAGCCACAUAUUUACCCUUUUAAUAAUUUUUAUUGAAAUUAUCAUUUAAAUAAAUUCAGUGACAUCAGCAUUAUCUAUGAUAGGACUUGAAGAGUCUCUCAAAUUGGUGUAUACAUUUAAGAGGUCAACUCCAAGGGAGUCCCCACAAUAAACAAAGUCAGAGAACGUAUUUCCCAUGUCAUAUUGUUGUUUAUUUGGGCUUGCUGAUACUCUUGUUGAAUAAUGUUUAGCUUCAGAUGAUGAGUCCAGGUCUAAAUAAGAGAUUGAAGAAGAGGCUGAGGGAGAAGAUGAGAUAGCAUUGUCACUCUCGUUGAAAUGAAGAAAUUGGUCACCUCCUGUUAAUGGCCAAGGCACAUCGCAGUUUGACAAAGAUAUGGAAGGAUUAAUAAUGUUUUCAUUGUCUUCAAAGUUAUAGUUGAGUCCAUAGCUUAAAGAUUCCGGAAUUAUUCCUAAGUUGUCCUCUCUCAAUGUAUUAUUAUUGGUAUUUCCAUUACUUGUAAUAUUUUGAGUGUUACAACGUGGGUUAUUAUUGUUAGUAUUGCAUGUUUUGUUAUUUGAAUAUCCAUUGGAACCCUUUUGAAAAGAAUUCUGAUGGUUGCUAUCAUUCUGCUCCAUUUCCACCGUGGGAGGCAUAAGUAGCAUAUCCAAUCCCAUUGAUGAGGCAGGAAUGUAAUUCUUUUCUGGACUAAUGGAGGCAGGGCUAGAAACUGCUGUUGAUACCAAACUUGUAGAAUCUACAGAAACACGUUUAUCACUGUAAGGUUCAUCAAAAAUACAGUCAUUAACAAUUUGUUUA
rnacentral:antisense_RNA from 1 species